rnacentral:rRNA from 1 species
AGUGAGCGCUGGCGGUAGGCCUAACACAUGCAAGUCGAACGGCAGCACAGUAAGAGCUUGCUCUUACGGGUGGCGAGUGGCGGAUGGGUGAGGCAUACAUCGGAAUCUACUUUUUCGUGGGUGAUAACGUAGGGCAACUUACGCUAAUACCGCAUACGACCUACGGGUGAGAGCAGGGGAUCUUCGGACCUUUCGCGAUUGAAUGAGCCGAUGUCGGAUUAGCUAGUUGGCGGGGUAAAGGCCCACCAAGGCGACGAUCCGUAGCUGGUCUGAGAGGAUGAUCAGCCACACUGGAACUGAGACACGGUCCAGACUCCUACGGGAGGCAGCAGUGGGGAAUAUUGGACAAUGGGCGCAAGCCUGAUCCAGCCAUGCCGCGUGAGUGAAGAAGGCCUUCGGAUUGUAAAGCUCUGUUAUUGGGAAAGAACAGCAGCAGAUUAAUCCCCCGCUGUUCUGACGGUACCCAAAGAAUAAGCCCCGGCUAACUUCGUG